rnacentral:rRNA from 1 species
GGAAUAUUGGACAAUGGGCGAAAGCCUGAUCCAGCCAUGCCGCGUGUGUGAAGAAGGUCUUCGGAUUGUAAAGCACUUUAAGUUGGGAGGAAGGGCAGUAACUUAAUACGUUGCUGUUUUGACGUUACCGACAGAAUAAGCACCGGCUAACUCUGUGCCAGCAGCCGCGGUAAUACAGAGGGUGCAAGCGUUAAUCGGAAUUACUGGGCGUAAAGCGCGCGUAGGUGGUUUGUUAAGUUGGAUGUGAAAGCCCCGGGCUCAACCUGGGAACUGCAUUCAAAACUGACAAGCUAGAGUAUGGUAGAGGGUGGUGGAAUUUCCUGUGUAGCGGUGAAAUGCGUAGAUAUAGGAAGGAACACCAGUGGCGAAGGCGACCACCUGGACUGAUACUGACACUGAGGUGCGAAAGCGUGGGGAGCAAACAGGAUUAGAUACCCUUG